UACGUAGGGGGCAAGCGUUGUCCGGAUUUAUUGGGCGUAAAGAGCUCGUAGGCGGCUUAGUAAGUCGGGUGUGAAACCUCCAGGCUCAACCUGGAGACGCCACUCGAUACUGCUGUGGCUAGAGUCCGGUAGGGGAGCGUGGAAUUCCUGGUGUAGCGGUGAAAUGCGCAGAUAUCAGGAGGAACACCAGCGGCGAAGGCGGCAUCCUGGACCGGCAUUGACGCUGAAGCGCGAAAGCUAGGGGAGCAAACGGG
rnacentral:rRNA from 1 species